GAUGAACGCUAGCUACAGGCUUAACACAUGCAAGUCGAGGGGCAGCAUGAGGUCAGCUUGCUGACUUUGAUGGCGACCGGCGCACGGGUGAGUAACGCGUAUCCAACCUUCCCGCGACUGGGGGAUAACCUUGCGAAAGUAAGACUAAUACCCCAUGGUUUCCGAGGCGGACAUCCAAUUUGGAAUAAAGAUUCAUCGGUUGUGGAUGGGGAUGCGUCUGAUUAGCUUGUUGGCGGGGUAACGGCCCACCAAGGCUACGAUCAGUAGGGGUUCUGAGAGGAAGGUCCACCACAUUGGAACUGAGACACGGUCCAAACUCCUACGGGAGGCAGCAGUGAGGAAUAUUGGUCAAUGGACGAGAGUCUGAACCAGCCAAGUAGCGUGCAGGAUGACGGCCCUAUGGGUUGUAAACUGCUUUUAUACGGGAAUAAAGUCAACCACGUGUGGUUGUUUGUAUGUACCGUAUGAAUAAGGACCGGCUAAUUCCGUGCCAGCCGCCGCCGUAAGAC
rnacentral:rRNA from 1 species